GAGGAAGGUAGGCCCAAAAUCCCACCCCUAGAGGAGGAGCUACUGGCAUUGAUAGCUGGGCGGAGAGCCAGUUUUCAUUAUGGAUAAGAGCCCUGUUCUUAUGGGCUUCUCGGUAACCGCUGUCUCCAGUCUGCAGAACGCUGGUGUUAGAAACGCGUCGACAACUACCGCACAUCGUGAGUGAACAAAGCGGGGGGCCUAGAGGAGGUGCAGAAAGAACCACUGGCCCCUUCUUUUCUCUUGGCCUCCCCUCUCCGCGUCCAAACCCCUUCCCGAGAAUCCCUCACACACUGAGAGCUGCUCGGUGGCUGCAGGAGUUACCCUGUACAGACAGACAUUAGGGUUGGAUGCUCAGGCUUCAGAAAGCAGCUCCUCCUUCCGUGAUAGCUGUGUUGAAACGGCUCAACUUCCUCGCUCUGCCACUGACGUAUUGCUGCCAGGUUGCGGAGUUUCCCAGCAUUCUCUGUUGCUCUUAAGGUAAAGCUUGAUAAAGUUUGCUACCGCAGCCUAUGUCAGCCGCCUGCCUUCUGUGCCUCAGUCAU
rnacentral:lncRNA from 1 species